CUUCCUUUUCCGUAUUUUACUUCUGGGUUUUUCACAUUCCACUUAUUUCUCCAAUUUUGGGGGUUUUGAAUAACAAAUGUUGCUCGGAUUGAAAUUGGGGGUUUAGGAUUUUCAAUUCUGCUCAGGAUUUGUUGAUUCAUUCAAGAGUAAUUUUCAUCUGGUUGAUUGAUUAGAAAUUCUAAAAGAAAUUAUAACAGGAAAGAAGACAUUGUCUGCCAUUUCUACACUCAAAGGUACUUCUUUUUCCAUCUUUCACUUGUGGGUUUUUGAACUACGAAUACUAAUGCUGAGAAAAUUAGGAUUUUAGGGUUUUUGUUUCUGCUCUGUGACGAUUCAUUGCAAAAAUUGGAGAUUAGGUUUCUGAACUACAAAUUUCAGGGAUUACUUUUUAAUUUUGUGGGUUCUCUUUACAAUUCGGGGGUUUAGUUAUCAGUUUAGGUUAACAAUGGUGGAAACAAGAAAUGCAUCCCCGUAUUCUAGUGGGGAAGAUAGAAUCAGUAGGUUGCCUGAUAGUAUAAUUCAUCAUAUCAUGUCUUUCAAUGAUGCUAAAUAUGCAGUUCAGACUUGUGUUUUGUCGAAACGAUUCAUAUCUGGAAGUCUCUGCCAUUUCUGAAUUUCAAAAGGAGUUUGUUUUCGGAAGAUGAAAGCAUGUUGGUAGAUGAUGAAUCUGAUAUUCAGAGAUCCGCUCUGAAAUGGUUCAAUAUUAGAUAUGCUGAUAUAAUGAAAAAACAUGUUGGUAGAUGGAUGGUUGAUGCUGUAAAACAUAAUGUUCAAGAAAUUACCAUACAAAUCUGUAAAGAUCAUUCGGCAUACAAAAUUCCACAUAUCCUUAAUUGCAAAUCACUGAGAAAGUUGUCAAUGCAAUUGUAUGGUGCUGUCGGAUAUGCAGAUAUUAUUCUACCAAGUUCAAUGAGUUUACCUCAGCUUAAAGUACUAAUCAGACGUGGAUUAUCAAUCUCCAAUGUGGAAUCAUCCAAAAGACUCUUUUCAAGUUGUCCAAGUCUUGAAACGUUACACAUAGUUGAUUGUGAUAUACAAACUGAUAACCAAAGAAAUUUCACUGUUGAUAUUCUCAGCCUUAAGCAGUUUGUAUAUGGUUGUUCGUGUAGACGUCUUUUGCCGCAAAAUGGUAAUAUGGCUAACAUUAUCAAGUUAUGUGCUCGAAAUCUGGAACUCUUCGCCUGCAGAUCUUUCUUGGCUCAAGAUUAUUCUCUAAAUAUUUGUUUUCCAAUAUCUGAGGUAAUUUUUCAAAUGUUUCUCAAAGAAAACGAAGAAGAUGAGAAUGCAGAAUCAUAUUCAUAUCUCUAUUCAGAGGAAAAAGAAGUGUAUGCUAAACGCGUGAUGCAAUUUUUAGAAGCGUUUUAUAAAGUGGAAAAUUUGAGCUUAUCAUCCGGAUUCCUUGAGGUUCUCUCACAAGAUCUUGACUUUUUAGACUGUCAACCACCUCGCUUAUGUGAUCUACAAACUUUAACAUUGGGCAUGUGGUCUACAAGAGGUUGCUUGCGGGCUGUCAUAUACUUACUCAAGAUAUCUCCCUAUAUAACUCAGUUAUUCCUUGAGUCCAAGGAGUUCAAUUUACCCGAUGUUGGAGAUGAUUGGGAAUCUGGAUUUUCAUUUCCAGGAAUAUUGUCUCGCCUCAUGCUUGUCCAUUUCGUAGAAGUGGACGGAUGUGAUGCUGAGCUCAAACUUCUGAGUUUUUGUUGAGAAAUGCAAAAGUACUGAAGAAAGUUGUUAUACACUUUCGUUCUAGUGGUUGCUCACCUGAUAGAGUGAGACGAGUCGAAAAAUUUAAAAAUAAGCUAAGAGCAGUUUCUACAGCUUCUUCAAGUAUUGAUAUGGCGUUCAAAACUUAGUACGGGACACUUUGAGCUUCACUAGGGCCUGCAACCAAAAGUAGCCAGGGCUUUCUGUAUAUGCUGGAUGGUUUUCAUGAAUUGUUAAGGACCCAUCCGGCGGAAGUCCGACAGCUUUUUUUUUCCGGUAAUCGCAUGAAGAAGUGCUCGAUCUCUGUUUAGUCGUUCUUCGGAUGACAUCCAGAAACUGUAAUGUUUUUUCUUUCUACAAGUGAGCAAAUUGUUGUUUGAGUUUCAUCAUUAGAACUUGGACAUCAUAGGUAAGCCUAGACAGUGAGUGUGUUCAAGCAUGGGUGUGUUCUUAGAAUGACCCCAGCCACUGAGAGUAAUAUUGUCCAAAUAAUAUUGUCCAUGAAUCAUUUUCCUCUUUUUUAUAAGAACAAUUUUUUGGGGACUACUCCACAAAGGUGGGGGACUAUUUUGUGAUACAAAUGUCCAUCCUACAUUA